rnacentral:rRNA from 1 species
AGAGUUGUAUCCUGGCUCAGAGUGAACGCUGGCGGCGUGGAUUAGGCAUGCAAGUCGAACGAUCCCGCAAGGGAUAGUGGCAAAAGGGUGAGUAACACGCGAGCAAUCUACCUUCGAGCGGGGAAUAACGCUGGGAAACCGGCGCUAAAACCGCAUAAGACCACGGUUUGGCAUCAAAUCGUGGUAAAAAGUGGGGACCGCAAGGCCUACUGCUUGAAGAUGAGCUCACGUCCUAUCAGCUUGUUGGCGGGGUAAUGGCCCACCAAGGCUUUUGACGGGUAGCUGGUCUGAGAGGAUGGUCAGCCACAUUGGGACUGAGACACGGCCCAGACUCCUACGGGAGGCAGCAGUGGGGAAUAUUGGGCAAUGGGCGCAAGCCUGACCCAGCAACGCCGCGUGAAGGACGAAGGCCUUCGGGUUGUAAACUUCUUUGAUCAGGGACGAAUAAAUGACGGUACCUGAAGAACAAGCCACGGCUAACUACGUGCCAGCAGCCGCGGUAAUACGUAGGUGGCAAGCGUUAUCCGGAUUUUACUGGGUGUAAAGGGCGUGUAGG